GUGAUGUUUCAUCACAACAAACACUCACAGACACAAUGAGCACAUGCUGCAAGAACUUAGAGGUCCGUCUGGUCUAUCCAAAGGUGAAUAUCUUCUGUCAAGAAGUGUUAUUGAGAGAAAGUUGCUCUUGCAUGACGAAAACACAUCUUUGUGAGAUUAAAUGCAUGUCGAUACGAAGAGGAUGGAUGACCCAAGCUGUCUGUAGAGGUGCACUGUUGGAGUUACAUGAAGGGCGUCUGCGUCCCGCAGGACUCCAGGGCCGGAGCUGCUGCAGCCCCAGUAGGAGGCAAGGUUACCCAGGCCCACAAGUGACGCAUCCUCGCCAGAGGUUCAGGCACGCCUUGAAGCGUCAAGGUCACAUGACUGCUGCCGUGAAGGAAGUCAUAAACAAAAUGCUGUGGUCCACAGCACGACGGUGUGUCGGGCGAACGCCCAGGAGAGUAGGCUGUCUGCUGCCCACUGGCUCCUCUUCUUCUCCCACUUAUUCUCCCACUGCCUUGACACGUGUCAACUUGUCAAGAAGUUGUCCUUGGGCCGAGUCUCCUGCAGGAUGGAGGAUAUGUGGAUGAAUACGAUGUAGACCUCAGGAAA